AUGCUGGCUUCAGCAGCAUAUAUUCCAAAGCUGGAACAGUGCCGAGAAGAUUAGCAUUGCCCAUGAGCAAAGAUAACAUAGAAAUCAUGGAUGUUCCUCUCAUUAAA